rnacentral:rRNA from 1 species
AUGGCCAGCAUGGCACCGUCGCCGGCGAGCUCCUGCGUGUCCUCCGACGAGGAGGAGGCCGCGGCGGCCAAGGCGAUGGUGGUGGCGGGGUGCCCGCGGUGCCUCAUGUACGUGAUGCUCUCGUCGGAGCCGCCUCGGUGCCCUCGCUGCAACAGCCCCGUGCUCCUGCAAUUCCUCCACGGCGCCGACGCCAACACCGCCAACGCCAACGCCGACGCCGACGCCAACACCAACAUGUCGUAG